GCGAAACCUCUGCAAUAGGCGAAAGCCUGACAGGGUUACUCUGAGUGACUUUCGCUAAGAAAGUCUUUUGGCACCUCUAAAAAGGGUGCAGAAUAAGGGGUGGGCAAGUCUGGUGUCAGCCGCCGCGGUAAUACCAGCACCCCGAGUGGUCGGGACGAUUAUUGGGCCUAAAGCAUCCGUAGCUGGUUCUGCAAGUCCCCCGUUAAAUCCAGCUGCUCAACAGAUGGGCCGCGGAGGAUACUACAGAGCUAGGAGGCAGGAGAGGCAAGCGGUACUCAGUGGGUAGGGGUAAAAUCCGUUGAUCCAUUGAAGACCACCAGUGGCGAAGGCGGCUUGCCAGAAUGCGCUCGACGGUGAGGGAUGAAAGCUGGGGGAGCAAACCGGAUUAGAUACCCGGGUAGUCCCAGCCGUAAACGAUGCAGACUCGGUGAUGGGUUGGCUUCGCGCUAACCCAGUGCCGCAGGGAAGCCGUUAAGUCUGCCGCCUGGGUAGUACGGUCGCAAGACUGAAACU
rnacentral:rRNA from 1 species